rnacentral:rRNA from 1 species
UACGGGGGGGGCAAGCGUUGUUCGGAAUUACUGGGCGUAAAGGGCUCGUAGGUGGCCAACUAAGUCAGACGUGAAAUCCCUCGGCUUAACCGGGGAACUGCGUCUGAUACUGGAUGGCUUGAGUUUGGGAGAGGGAUGCGGAAUUCCAGGUGUAGCGGUGAAAUGCGUAGAUAUCUGGAGGAACACCGGUGGCGAAGGCGGCAUCCUGGACCAACACUGACACUGAGGAGCGAAAGCUAGGGGAGCGAACGGG